rnacentral:rRNA from 1 species
UACGAAGGGGGCUAGCGUUGCUCGGAAUUACUGGGCGUAAAGCGCACGUAGGCGGAUUGUUAAGUCGGGGGUGAAAUCCUGGAGCUCAACUCCAGAACUGCCUUCGAUACUGGCGAUCUAGAGUCCGGGAGAGGUGAGUGGAAGCUGCGAGUGUAGAGGUGAAAUUCGUAGAUAUUCGCAAGAACACCAGUGGCGAAGGCGGCUCACUGGCCCGGUACUGACGCUGAGGUGCGAAAGC